UCAAAGCAGAACCAUAAAGGUUGCUGGACUGCAUGAUGGCCUUACCCCUGAGCAGUCAUCCUGUUAAAGGAGGAACCACUUAGAAGCUGUUUUCAAAGUAGCUGAGCAGAUUUCAUCUCAAUAGAUCAAAGCAGCUCGUGCUCCUUCUGCUUCCAAUUUAGAAGAAGAAGGUGAAGGCUUCAGCAAAGUGGCGUUCAUGGUCUCAGUGAACAGUCACGGUCACACACUGCAUGUGGUUUUAAAAGCAACAUGUCUGUUCACCACAACAAUGGAGAUGUGUAAUAUUAGUGCAGCUACGGUUUGUUCUUGAACAUCAGUUCUGUUUUCUACUUUGAUCACUUAGACCAAAAAAGUGUUGUUUUCAGAUUCUUUCUUUUAAAUCUAUAAAGCACCUGUUCAUUUUUUAUUACAAUUAGUUUCACAUAAAUGUUAGUGUUUCCUUUAUGAUCUUUUAAUGCUUACACUACACUGUACAUGUCUGCAUUAGAGACAUUUCUGUUACCUGUUUCUGUUGACUCAGAGUUGUGAAAUGUUCUUUUAUUUGAUGCACAAUAUGAAGCUCAUAAUUUUCUUAC
ensembl:lncRNA